CCCGUUUUCUUCUGGCAAUCAAUCCUUCUACGUCUUGACUCUUCUUCUUUCCUUCUGGGUCUCCUCUUAUCCCCUUCCACGUCUUGACUUCUUAUUCUUUCCUUCCGAGUCUCCUGUUAUCCCCUUCAACAUCUUUUCUCCCCCGCGGCUAUGAUUUCUAGGGUUCAUCUAGCAGUCGAUCCGUCCCCUGUCUCGCGCUGUGGAUCCGUUGUUGCGCUCGCUAGUUCACACGCGAGAUCGAGAUGGCUUCCACUGGUGAAAAUGUUCCUGUACAGUCUAAAGCAAUUUUCCAGUCAUGUUUCUCUACUAUUCGAUGGGCCAAAGCUGUUAGUAAGAUGUCUGUUAGUAAGAUGUCUGUAUUGCAGAGAAGCUUUAUACCAGAGCAAUUUAAACAUCUUCUGAAUGUGCGCGAACAUGUUAUUCUGCCCAUGGAUUUGCUUCAAUGGCUAGCAAAACAUAUCCGCUAUGGUCAAGUAGGUAUUUUUGAGCAGAGAUAAAGUCAUUCAUAUCACCUGAGAUAUGGUUGAUAUGGUUUUUGGGUGGCGUUCUGGUCCUGUUCCUUUCUGUCUUGAGAGCAGUGAUAUUAAUGUUGUUGAGCAAGUAAUGUUACUGCGGAAGAAAUAUAGCGAUGAUGGCAUGAUAAAGGGUUUCAGGCUAUUUAGGUGAAUCAAUAUUCAGCUUAAAAGAGGUUCAAGACACAAGACAACCACAUUUUCCUCGCAGAAACAAAUUUUUCUUUUUUACUUUUGCUCUACCAAAUGAGAACAAAUUUCCUUCUCGUGCUACUCGAACGAAGAAAAUGUUGAGGGGGUCAUUGUUCA